AAGAAUUGCUUCAAUAUUAGAAGUAAACAUGGCAUAGUUCUGUAAAGAUUUUUUAUAUAGAGGGAAAAUAACUACCAUUGAACUUAAAACCGGCUUGAUUAUAUAGCUGAUUAAUGCAUCUUUCAUUAAUAGAAAUUCUUUGUUUUAUUGAAUAAUAAUUCUGUUUGCUUGCUGUCGAUAAUUAUGGCAUUUCUAUGAGACAUGCAUGUAGCCACAUAACAUAUAUUGAUAGAUGAUAGAUAGAUAUUAAUGGUAAUAUGAUAUGACACAAACCAUGUAUCCUCUGAAUGCUGUUU
rnacentral:misc_RNA from 1 species